AAGCAAAGCAGGGUGCUCUGUCUGGUUUAUUUUUUUCCAGUUGGCUGUUCAUUUGCGUCCUGGACAGAUGUACAGCAAUGAAAGGAACCUCGUCCUCAGUCUCGCCCCAUACGAGAGGCCCUUCAGUCCCGACUGGCUUGCUAUCCAGACACCAGGAAUUCACAGAGACAAUUUGUAAAAUCCCACAGGACGGCCCCCCGAGUCGAAGCCCCCUGUGGAGGGUUCUGUCCUGUGGUGGCCUAAGUUAGGGAGUCUGGGCCUGAACAAUAGGCCCCAUUUGUCCUGCUAAAAGGUGACAGGCGGCAUUGAUUCCCAGCAGCUCCUGCUUAUCGGCGAACCCAGGCCGCCCCACAGCCCUGAAACACGCAAACGCCUGGCGUCCUUUUCUACGAGGGUGGCAGCAGCCUGUUACGACACACUUGUUAUUUCUCAUUAAUGACAUGAUCAUGUAGUAAUUAAAAAUGCUAUCCUUAAAUUACUGAGGUUUCAUUUAAAUAUUUAAAAAUAAUGUCUGACCAGCUCUGUUCUGAGGAGAAGGUGGCAGAGUAAUCUUUAAAUUUCGCAGCGUGCUGUAAAAUAAACACCAGGCCCACUACACAUCACAUGUUCCAGUUUACGCAGGAAACUAUUUCAGCUGUGUUAACUGUGCUUUCACUGGCCAAGCUGGCUGUGUUAACUGUGCUUUCACUGGCCAAGCUGGCUGUGUUAACUGUGCUUUCACUGGCCAAGCUGAUCGCAUAGCUUCAGUACAUUUGACAAGCAAAGCUUUUAUUUCAGAACACUUUCAGUGAUAUUGCCUGUGGUGGUGGUAGUGGUGGCUGUGUAAUGCUUGAUUGAGCUCUCAUGUCUGUAACCUGGUCAUUUUGCAAUAAAGAAAUGGAUGCUUUCUUUA